rnacentral:lncRNA from 1 species
CUGACCGAUGGCCCCCCUCAAACUGCCUCCUCCCUCAGAUCCACACCCCUGCCCUGCAUCUGUCUCCCCUGUCAGGCGUUCCUCACCUGGACUGCUUCCUCCCUCAGACCCGCUCCCCUCACUUGCACCUGCCUCCGCUCUCAAACUCCCGUCGCUCACCUGAAGCUGCUUUGCCGGUCAGUCUCUAGUCAGUCCCCUGAAUUUUCGUCAGACUCACAUCCCUCACCUGGGUCUGCCUCCCCUGUCAGACGUCCCUCACCCGGAUCUGCCCUCCUCCCUCUAACCCAUGCUCCUCACGUGAAUCCACCUCUCCUGUCAGACCCUCGCCCCCACCUGGAUGCGCCUCGCCACGCCCAGCCGCGUCUGCUGCACGAAGGGAUUGGGCACAGGUGGCGGGAAGAAGGACGCCUGGCGGGGCACCAUGGGCGGCCGCAGCCCCUCGUUCCCGACGCCAGCUCCCGGCACAGUGGCCGCCACGGCCCGCGCGUCAGCGCACCGGUUCAUGGCCGACCCUGGCGUCUGGCUAGAGCGAAGCGACCCACGCAGAGCGCGCGAGUGGGAGAUGGGGGGAUGCUCUUGGCCAGGAUAUGGGGGCAGGUCCAGGAAGCACUGAAAGUCCUUUUCCAUUGGACAUUCCUGAGAAGGAAGCAGGGCAACCUGGAGCUCCAGAGGCAACAGAUAACCCUCAUAGACAGUCUCAGAGACAAGGCUCUUAUUCAUAAUGGAAAAAAAGAAUUUUAAAACAAGAAAAUGCACUGACUGUAGAACUUAGUGGUUAAGGGGCUUCCCUGGUGGUUCAGAUGAUAAGGAAUCUGCCUGCAACACGGGAGACUUGGGCUCCAUCCUUGGGUCGGGAAGAUCCCCUGAAGAAGGGUAUGACUAUCCACUCCAGUAUUCUCGCCUGGAGAAUUCCAUGGACAGAGGAGCCUGGUGGGCUAUAGUCCAUGGAGUUACAAAGAGUCAGACACCACCAAGCAACUAAUUUUCACCUUUUGCUUAAGAAUCAGCCCUUCUAAGGGUCUGGCUUCUUUACUUGCUAACUGGAUAACUGACAUCAAGGUAUUUUACUUCCCUGAGCUUCAUUUUUCUUCAUUGAGUAGAUGGGACAUACUAGAAAAUACAAAGGUUCCUGGGACUCUUGCAACAUAUAAAUGAGUCAGUGCAUUUAAAGGACAUGGCACUGAGUCUGGCACAUGAAAAGCGCUUUAUAAGCUCUUAUCAUCAUUACCAGGGUCAUAGGAUGUUGCAGCCAAAAGUGAUCACAGAGGUCAUCUAGUAGGUUCCAUGCCAAUGUCAUGACUACUGGCCGGAAAGGAAUCAAUAAAGGAAGAAGGCACUUAAGUGCUAUGGUUCCCUCGGCUCAGCCUCCCUCUAACCAGUCCUCUGGUGGUUGCUCCCCAACCAAAGGAUGAAGCACAUUUGUCAUUAAGGGAGUUUGGAGAGACCUUUCUAUCGUCUCUCCAAGCCUGAGAACGUCACCUUGCUGCCUUGACCGUCGCUCACUUUGCAGAGCUCACAGGCCAGCUGUCUGCAGGCCCCAGCAGGCUCAGCCAAGGACAGCCGGGUUGCAUCCCCCCUCCCCUUGCUCAGGCAUUUAAUCAAAACAGUAUUCAAAAUAUGAUUCUGGGAGAUUAUAUUGGGAGAUUUGCAGGAGGCUCUCUGAGUGGGGGCAGAGAGAGUGGGAACAGAUUGCUGCUGGGGGCCGGAGGCUGGGAUCGCAGGCUCAGACUCGCCAUUCUCAGGCUUUUGGCUGUACUCUUGGAGCCGACCAUCAGCUCUGCAGAGAACACUGAGCACAAGCAUGGAGAACUAGAUUAUCUCCACACUUGACUGCUGGGGAAACUAAAAGAGGGAAAGGGCUUGUCCACGGCCACAUAUCGAGGGAGUAAUGGGCUUCCCAGGUGGCUCAGUGGUAAAGAAUCUGCCACUAAUUCAGGAGACACAGGAGAGGUGGGUUCAACUCCUGGGUUGGGAAGAUCUCUUGGAGGAGGGCACGGCAAGCCACUCCAGUAUUCUUGCCUGGAAAAAUCCCAUGGACAGAGGAGCCUGGCAGGUUGUAGUCCAUAGGAUUGCAAAGAGUAGGACACAACUGAGCAUGCAAUGCAACGGGAUUGAGGUGGCCAAGCCAUUUCCUGGGAUUGAAGGCUACUCCUUAUGGCCCCUCUCAUACUCCAGCCCUUCUCACACUCCAGAUCUUUGGGACAAGCGGGGGCUAUAGGCUCCUGCUCUGGGUUGUGGGAGGUAGGGAGAGGCUGGAUCCUGUAGAUGAGGUCCUGGAUGGUACCUGGACCUUAUUUUCCGAGGUUCAGGGUCCUAUAAAAGCUCCAUGACUGGAGGCAGGGUGCAGGUAAACCCUCUGCCCACUACCAUCCUCCCUAUACUCUGCAUCCUAGUCCCAGUUCAGUAACAUGACCUUGAUUUAGGUGAGUCUCCUCUCUGGCGUUCACUUUCCCAUCUGGAAAUCUGACUCCAUGUGAUGCUACUGCCCCUCUCCCCUCCACAGAAUGGCUAGCUGGUGCCCCACUUCCAACUGGAGGCCCUGGGAACUAGCUUCCGCAGCCUGGUGGUGGGGUGGGGCUGGGAUGGGUUUACCUGGCCCCCUAGGAGGGGGUGGGGUCGAAAGUGUCUUGAAAGAAACCUCUGGCUAAUGCUCUUUAUUACAAGCGUUAAUCCCGCAAAGCCGACUGGAAAUAAUGUUUAUCUUUUCGCAGUUUAAUUUCCCGGACCCUAAGCCCCCGGACAGUGAGGGCGACAGGAGGGUCCCUGGAGAGGCUGGGGGUAGGAGCAGCUGUCACCCAGGAGCAAAAAGAAGGCAGGGAGGGGGGUUCCCAGAGGAAGAGGAAGAGGAGUCAGAGCGAAAAGGGGGCCUUGGAAGUUGAGUGGAGAGUUAGAUUUAUGUUCACCACGGGUUCUCUAUGACUCUGAGUCAGGCCCUGCCCUGUCAUUUGGCCUCAGUUUCCUCAUCUGAGGAAGGGGUUUGUGCUUUUGUAAUUCAUUAUCUCUGACUAGUCUAUAGACAAGGCAGAGAGGGGCGCGGACAGGUGGCCUGUUCCCCUUGAUUUUUUAAACACCCACGUUUCCUCUACGCAGCCUCCAAGGUUCUUAAAAUCUCCCAAGGUUGCAGAUCCUUCCUGUCCCAGACUUCAGUGACCAGUCUGCUGGCAUCGCGCUGGUCUGAAAGGCUGUCACCCAGCCAAGGCUGGAGGGGCUGGAGCCCUGCGGUGGAGACACGGCCCCUAGGCGCACACCCCUGCAGCCCUCCCUCCUGCCUCUCCGUCCCCAUCGGCUCCCCGGACCUCCCCCUAGGGUACCGUCCCGGGUUCCCCUCUCUCUUUCCUCGCGCGCAGCGGCGGCGAAGGCACUCGCGGGCUAAAGCAGAAGCCACCGGGCCGGGGACAACAAACCAGGGCUCCCACCCCCGCCCCCCCCCCCCCCCC